rnacentral:tRNA from 1 species
GGGGUUGUGGCUCAGCGGUAGAGUACUCACCUAGCACAUGGGAGGCCCUGGGUUCAAACCUCAGCAUCACACA